AUGCCUGUAAUAUCUCCUUCGAUGAUUCCAAGAGGACAAAGAAUUAAACGUUUCUGUCCGACAUGUAAUUGCAAAGGCACGCUUGAUCUUUAGAAUUUUGCUUGAACCUUUGCAUCGAAAGAAGUUACUCUCUGGAAUUAAAUUUGUGCUUUCCCACAUCUGAAUUCUGAAAUAUACCCUAAAAAAGGAAGCGAGUACAGCGAGGCGAGAAUUUAGUACGUUUAGCAAUUUGCCCAGUACGGAAAUCUCCUGUGCAGUACACGGUCAGUCCGGUUCAAGAUUGAGAUGCUAGUACGUGUGUACUAUAUUUUUAUAUACUCUCGAGGAACUUAUAAGGGUUCCAAGUCAAUGCAAGUAUGGAUCAAAAUCUGGGGAAAUGAGGGCUUGUGUUGGCGAAUUCUGGGCAGGGAUUGAAGGGAAGAGCGAAGGGCAUUUGGGUGUCGAUGUUUUGAGGUAAAGAGGGGACAGAGCAGAGGCUGGGAAGAGGCAGAGCAUGGAUUGAGCUAUUGACAGGGACAGGGACUGUUUUGGCUCGACCCUGCACUGCCUCUUCCCUGGCUGUUGCCUCCUUCCUCUGCUUCUCCUCCCCCCCCCUAUUUUAUGAGUAAGGAUAAGAGUUUAUUUUUGCUUUCUUUUCAUUUUCUUUUUCACUUUGUUUGAUGUUGUUGUCCGUGGAAAUGGGAGAUGAGAAUGUCGCCACGGGUUGAGAAUCUCCUGAUGUGGCACAAGACUAUUUGCUGGUGGAGAUGAGAACGGUCUUCAGGUAAAGAUUGUGCAAAGUUGAUUCUAGCACGGUGUCGGAGAGGAUAUGGUGGUUGAUUUCGGAGCAAGAACGAAGUAGCAGGAACCUUGGUCUGGAGCUUGAGAAGGAGCAGCUUCUGCCAACCAGUCCGACCCUUCUGUCAUCUCAUUUGACUUUCGUGUAGGAUUGUGUUCCAUGCUAACCAGCAAUCCGGCUUUGAACAAAGCAAGGUGAAAUCUUUUUGGGCAUUGAUACAUCAGCAUAAGCAGGGUUUAAGGGAGAACACAGCCAGGAGCGUAGCGGACUACACCAACCAAUUUCCAUGGGCUGUUGAUGAUGAAGGACCGCCGUUUCAGAAACAUUCUCAUGCAUAUUUUUUUCUUUUGGAAUGUAGACUCUGUACAUUGGUGGACAGAUGAUGAAUUGUUAAAUCAUAGUUUUGAUGCCUUGGGAGCUAAGAUUUUGCUCGAAGAAAUAUCAUGCUCUCCUCUUAUCUUGCAAUUAGAUGAAUGAAUGCACACUUAUUGACA